AUUGAACGCUGGCGGCAGGCCUAACACAUGCAAGUCGAGCGGCAGCGGGAAAGUAGCUUGCUACUUUUGCCGGCGAGCGGCGGACGGGUGAGUAAUGCCUGGGGAUCUGCCCAGUCGAGGGGGAUAACUACUGGAAACGGUAGCUAAUACCGCAUACACCCUACGGGGGAAAGGAGGGGACCUUCGGGCCUUGCGCGCGUGGAUGACCCCAGGCGGGAUUAGCUAGUUGGCGGGGUAAUGGCUCACCAAGGCGACGAUCCCUAGCUGGUCUGAGAGGAUGAUCAGCCACACUGGAACUGAGACACGGUCCAGACUCCUACGGGAGGCAGCAGUGGGGAAUAUUGCACAAUGGGGGAAACCCUGAUGCAGCCAUGCCGCGUGUGUGAAGAAGGCCUUCGGGUUGUAAAGCACUUUCAGCGAGGAGGAAAGGUUGGUAGCUAAUAACUGCCAGCUGUGACGUUACUCGCAGAAGAAGCACCGGCUAACUCCGUGCCAGCAGCCGCCGUAAAAC
rnacentral:rRNA from 1 species